CAGUGGUGCUGGCCUGUGGGUUCCAAAUGCGGCAUCACUGCAGAGCCGGUUGGACGAGGCUCUCUGACCUCCUCUACUUGGCAGGCUUUCCUCUGCAGUUUUGACUGAGAGACAAACUAAACUGCCCCCCCCCGCUUCCCCUAGCUCUCCAACUGGUCCCAGUACAUCCUGGUGCAGGUGGGCAAGGUGAGGAGAGAUUUCUUCACUCCAGCAUGUGGGCAAUGCAGCCCUUCUUGAAGAGCUCCUCAUCCCCAUCCUGGGGCAUCUGAGUACCUGAAGUGGGCACAGCCUUUGCAGAGUCAGCAAUGGGAUGUGCAGCUCCGCGAUGGUCUUAAUGCAGAUGGGGAAAUUAACUCUCCAGAAGCAAUGGAGAAGCUGCUUUGAAUAUCAAGGCACCUACAGACGUGAACACCUAACAGCCAAAAUAUGAACUGAUGCUCUUUGUCCAGCGCAGCUGGCCAUCGAGAUGACCGGCAUCUGCUCAUUGACACUCAACAUCCCAGACACCUCAGAGCUGAUUGUGAGUGCCGACGGAUAUCUGUUUGAUUGACUGCGGAACGAGAGCUGACACUGCCCCGCUCUUGGCAUUGACCAACGCAGCUGUGCCCAGCUCGUGAGUCACCUUGGUGAGCGCUGCGCUCCCGCUGCUCGCCGGGACCAAGGGACUCAAAGGCCACCAGCCCGGUUUCGGUGCCCUGCUUUUCUUUGCUCGCCCGACGGUUCCGCCCCACGCCCCACCCCGCAGCAGCGUUAAUGACGGGGUAGGGAUUGCUCUGGGCUGGCGGGCGGGAGGUGUGGGUCACUCUGCCGGGGCAGUGAGCCACGGUCAGUGGGACGCCGUGACACACUGCCCCGAGCUGCAGCCUUCAGGGCUGGACCAUGCUGCUGGGAGUCCAUGGACAGCCAGGGGAAGGUGCCCUCAGAGAGCUAGCCAAUGUUUCCCAAUGUUGAGAUUGUUUUCUUCUUCCAGAUGCUGGGCCCAGCUCUCUGCAGCUGGGUGCAGCGCUGCCCAGCUCUGUGGCCAGCCCCAGCCCUUCCCCUGGCCCAGGGAUCACCGCCAAAGCUCAGCACAGGGCAACCACUGAGCUCCUCUUUUCCUUUUGAAAGCUAAUGUAAAAAAUGAUGAUAAGCUAAAUCUAGAUCUAUGUAGCAAUUAUGUGGGAUGCCAGACCUCGCACCUGUAGCAUAAUACAUAACAGAGCCAGCUAACUGCCUUGUCUAAUGAUUGCUGUGAACAGCAUACAAAUCUCAUUAUGGGGGGUGAGCUGAAAGCCAUUUUUCGUCCGAAGCUGAUGAGCUUGCAAAGACUUUCUUUGCCCCAUUCUCUCAGACUGCAGGUUUGUCCUCUUCUCCUUGGAAUCCUUCCUGUUAUUUUUCUACCUUCCUGUCACAGGAUGCAACGUUCAUUACAAUAAUAGAUCAAACUUUGAGUGGAAAAAUUCUGCUUUACAGUUGUCUUUAGGAUUUCCCAGUUUCAUUUCCUGCUACCCAUAAUGAGCAGGUAGAGUGUUUUCACAGGAUGGUUGGGUGGGUAAGAGAUGCCCCAAAACGUUAUCCCACCUUAACCUCUGAGCUGUCACCUUGAAUCAUCCCCUGGGGUACCUUGGCUUAGGAGCUUGGAUGACUGGAGAAGACCAGCUCCUAAAUACCAAUCAGACAAGGGCAGAAGAUGACUCCCACUCUCUCUGGGAACUUAACUCAAACUUAAAAUGUCUGUAUUGAUUUCUUAACCUGGAAUGUGCUUUGGAAACCCUGCCUGGAGAGCCGGCUUUGUCUCACCUAAAUACUUUGGAAGCGUGGUCAGAGAUGCUCCCAACAUGUGCUCUGGAUUCUCUGGUGAGAGACACGGGAGGAAGUUUUGAGGUGGAAGAGCAGCAUCAGUGCCAAUUUAUUUGGAAGGACUUUUGUGGACUGGACUUCUGUGGGUUUGCUUGCUUCCUGUUACUCUUAUGUUAUCAGCAUGAAAAUAUUAAAUUAUGUGACCAAUGUAGCCAGUAAGACUGGCCACAGCUAUUAUAUAACGUCUGGUUGCUGUAAA